AACCACAGACGGAGCCGCUGGAAGUCAGGGAUGGUGCACUUCUCCGUGAGCCCACAGCAGUCACGGCCAAUGGGCUGAAGCCCGGACGGAGCGCGACCUGACCCCUGGCCGCCGGGGACACGCGGCCCGGGGACGGAGACACUCGCCCCGCGGCUCCUGCAGGCCAAUUCCCGGCUGGACGCCCUCCCCGGGACUCGGGACCCUGGACUCUCGGGACCGGCCCCUGGGCUGUGCAGCGGCUGCCGGGGGACACGAGUGGCUCUGGAGGACUCCAGUCCGAGGUGCUGCCUCUAGGCCCUGGGCUCCGGGCUGGGAUCCCCGCUGAGGCGCGCCCCUCUCCGCCUAGGUCACCCCUUUCUCACAGUCCUCCCUGCCCCCGAAACACCGCUGUCCCGAGAACCCCGACGGCGGGGCUCCUUCCUAAGCCCCUCACUCCUGUCCUCACCCAUCGCACCUUCUCUGCCCCUGCCCGCCCUCCACGGCUGUGCCAGCGCACGCGGUGUCCCCUCCCCUCGGCCCCUACCUGGGCCCAGGGCCCCAGAGACCCUCGGCCUUGGGGACAGGAAGGAGGCCGAGGGCACAGCCGGGACCAGGACCACUACCUUCCCCACUCCACCCAAGAUGCGCCCCCACAGGGGCUGCCUUUGUCUUCCUUUCUUAUUUUUUGGCGCGGCACGGGAGAGUGAACCCAGGGCCUUCCCACUGCGC